rnacentral:rRNA from 1 species
AAUGAACGCUGGCGGCAUGCCUAACACAUGCAAGUCGAACGAAGGCUUCGGCCUUAGUGGCGCACGGGUGCGUAACGCGUGGGAAUCUGCCCUUGGGUUCGGAAUAACAGUUAGAAAUGACUGCUAAUACCGGAUGAUGUCGUAAGACCAAAGAUUUAUCGCCCAAGGAUGAGCCCGCGUAGGAUUAGCUAGUUGGUGGGGUAAAGGCCUACCAAGGCGACGAUCCUUAGCUGGUCUGAGAGGAUGAUCAGCCACACUGGGACUGAGACACGGCCCAGACCCCUACGGGAGGCAGCAGUGGGGAAUAUUGGAAAAGGGGCGAAGGCCUGACCCAGCAAUGCCGGGUGGGUGAUGAAGGCCUUAGGGUUGUAAAGCUUUUUUACCCGGGAUGAUAAGGACAGUACCGGGAGAAUAAGCCCCGGAUAACUUCGU